rnacentral:rRNA from 1 species
UAGAGUUUGAUCCUGGCUCAGAUUGAACGCUGGCGGCAGGCCUAACACAUGCAAGUCGAACGGUAGCACAGAGAGCUUGCUCUCGGGUGACGAGUGGCGGACGGGUGAGUAAUGUCUGGGAAACUGCCUGAUGGAGGGGGAUAACUACUGGAAACGGUAGCUAAUACCGCAUAAUGUCGCAAGACCAAAGAGGGGGACCUUCGGGCCUCUUGCCAUCGGAUGUGCCCAGAUGGGACUAGCUUGUUGGUGAGGUAACGGCUCACCAAGGCGACGAUCCCUAGCUGGUCUGAGAGGAUGACCAGCCACACUGGAACUGAGACACGGUCCAGACUCCUACGGGAGGCAGCAGUGGGGAAUAUUGCACAAUGGGCGCAAGCCUGAUGCAGCCAUGCCGCGUGUAUGAAGAAGGCCUUCGGGUUGUAAAGUACUUUCAGCGAGGAGGAAGGCGGUAAGGUUAAUAACCUUAUCGAUUGACGUUACUCGCAGAAGAAGCACCGGCUAACUCCGUGCCAGCAGCCACGGUAAUACGGAGGGUGCAAGCGUUAAUCGGAAUUACUGGGCGUAAAGCGCACGCAGGCGGUCUGUCAAGUCGGAUGUGAAAUCCCCGGGCUCAACCUGGGAACUGCAUUCGAAACUGGCAGGCUAGAGCUUUGUAAAGGGGGGGGGUAGGAAUUCCAGGGGGUAGCGGUGAAAUGGCGUAGAGAUCCUGGAGGAAAUACGGGGUGGGCCGAAGGCGGCCCUCCUGGACAAAGACUGACGCUCAGUGCGAAAGCCGUGGGGGAGCAAACAGGAUUAGAUAACCCUGGUAGUCCACGCGUAACGAUGCUCACAUUCUUGGGAGGGUUGUGCCCUUUGAAGCGUGCCUUUCAGAAGCUAACGCGUCAGUCGAUCGGCUUGGGGAGUACCGACGGCAAGUAAACUCUCAAUGGAA